rnacentral:rRNA from 1 species
GAUGAACGCUGGCGGCGUGCCUAAUACAUGCAAGUCGAGCGAACAGACGAGGAGCUUGCUCCUCUGACGUUAGCGGCGGACGGGUGAGUAACACGUGGAUAACCUACCUAUAAGACUGGGAUAACUUCGGGAAACCGGAGCUAAUACCGGAUAAUAUAUUGAACCGCAUGGUUCAAUAGUGAAAGACGGUUUUGCUGUCACUUAUAGAUGGAUCCGCGCCGCAUUAGCUAGUUGGUAAGGUAACGGCUUACCAAGGCGACGAUGCGUAGCCGACCUGAGAGGGUGAUCGGCCACACUAGAACUGAAGCACGGUCCAGACUCCGACGGGAGGCAGCAGUAGGGAAUCUUCCGCAAAGGGCGAAAGCCUGACGGAGCAACGCCGCGUGAGUGAUGAAGGUCUUCGGAUCGUAAAACUCUGUUAUUAGGGAAGAACAAAUGUGUAAGUAACUAUGCACGUCUUGACGGUACCUAAUCAGAAAGCCGCGGCUAACUACGUG